UUCGCAAUGCCCGAAAGGGUGACGAAGCGACGCCGCGUGCGGGAAGAAGGCCUUCGGGUUGUAAACCGCUGUCGGGAGUUAAGAAAUGCAAGGAUGUUAAUAGCAUCUUUGUUUGACUAAGGCUCCGGAGGAAGCCACGGCUAACUCUGUGCCAGCAGCCGCGGUAAUACAGAGGCGGCAAGCGUUGUUCGGAAUUAUUGGGCGUAAAGAGCACGUAGGCGGCUGUGUAAGUCGGUUGUGAAAGCCUUCCGCUUAACGGAAGAACGGCAUCUGAUACUACAGGGCUUGAGUACGGGAGGGGAGAGUGGAACUUCUGGUGGAGCGGUGAAAUGCGUAGAUAUCAGAAGGAACGCCGGCGGCGAAAGCGACUCUCUGGUCCGAAACUGACGCUGAGUGUGCGAAAGCUAGGGGAGCAAACGGGAUUAGAUACCCCGGUAGUCCUAGCCGUAAACGAUGGGCACUAAGUAGAGGGGUUUUA
rnacentral:rRNA from 1 species